AUGUUCAAGUACUGCUCUCCGUGGGAUCACCAAAGUUAAGCAACGUGGAGCCUGGUUAGUACCUAGACAGUUGACCACCUGGGAAUACCAGGUGCUGUAAG